UGAGCAAUCUGCCCUUCUCUUCGGAAUAAGCGUUGGAAACGACGUCUAAUGCCGAAUACGACCUCCUUUCGCAUGAUCGGAGGUGGAAAGCUCCGGCGGAGAAGGAUGAGCUCGCGGCCUAUCAGCUAGUUGGUGUGGGUAAUGGCCCACCAAGGCGACGACGGGUAGCCGGCCUGAGAGGGUGACCGGCCACACUGGGACUGAGACACGGCCCAGACCUCCGUACGGGGA
rnacentral:rRNA from 1 species